GGCAUAGUCACUUCUGUACCAUAACAACUUCACUAAGGUGCGAGUAUUCCUUUAAGACACUUAGGAGCACAGCAUCACAGAACAACCAUCAGCCUUCUGCAUAUUUACAUCAUACUAAAGUAGCUAUGCCAUAGGCACACACAAUAAUGUACAGCCAGUAUUAGAUACAGACAUUCUAGUUAAAUAGAGAGUGCAAGUGACCCUUGUUCCACUAAAUGAGAAGUCAGUGUCUCCAAUGCAGAAAAUGAUGCCCACACAUCUGUAAUGAUUAUUAAUCUGUUUACUCUUACUGUUUCAUAAUAUAUCUUUAUAACCUGCUUUAAGGUUGAAACAUUGGCAUGAUAUAAAGUUACAAUAAAUGGGUUGAUAAUUAAAACAGAGAACAUUUUUGCAUCAGAGAUAACAGGAACACAAAAGGUUGUAGUUUUGCCUUAUCUAAAAGUCACAGAAUGCCACAAAUUCCACAGCCUUAUGUAAACCAGACUAGUUUUCACUUCCUGAGGCUACAGUCAUGCCAUUUUAUACUAAUCAUCACGCCAUACUUUCCCCACAAAUUGGGCAAAACUGGGUUUGCUUAAUCAAUCGAGUAUUGUGGAGAAUUGAAAAAUAUAUUUAAAGGAACACUAUAGGGUCAGGAACACAACCAUGUAUUCCUGAUCCUAUAUUGUUAAAACCACUAUCUAGCCGCCCUGGUCCCCCCUUGCCCCACUAAAUAUAGUAAAUUCUCACCUGUAUUCAACUCUGUAGCUGCAGCUUCUGCCUUGGAACUGCCUGCUGAGAUCAUUAGAAGUGGU